rnacentral:rRNA from 1 species
CGGACCGGCGCACGGGUGAGUAACACGUAUGCAACCUGCCCUCUUCAGGGGGACAACCUUCCGAAAGGGAGGCUAAUCCCGCGUAUAUCGGUUUCGGGCAUCCGAGAUCGAGGAAAGAUUCAUCGGAAGAGGAUGGGCAUGCGGCGCAUUAGCUAGACGGCGGGGUAACGGCCCACCGUGGCGACGAUGCGUAGGGGUUCUGAGAGGAAGGUCCCCCACACUGGUACUGAGACACGGACCAGACUCCUACGGAAGGCAGCAG